rnacentral:rRNA from 1 species
AGAGGUGGCAAGCGUUGCUCGGAAUCACUGGGCUUAAAGGGCAUGUAGGCGGGCGAGUAAGCGCCUUGUGAAAUCCCCCGGCUCAACCGGGGAACCGCUCGGCGAACUGCUCGUCUCGAGGGAGACAGGGGCGACCGGAACUCUGGGUGGAGCGGUGAAAUGCGUAGAUAUCCAGGGGAACGCCGGUGGAGAAAUCGGGUCGCUGGGUCUUUCCUGACGCUGAGGUGCGAAAGCCAGGGGAGCGAACGGGAUUAGAUACCCCGGUAGUCCUGGCCGUAAACGAUGCCGACUGGGUUGGGGCGGGUUUACCCCCGUCCCAGCCGGAGCAAAAGCGUUAAGUCGGCCGCCUGGGAAAUACGGCCGCAAGGUUA